rnacentral:tRNA from 1 species
GUUUCUAUAGUUGAAUUACAACGGUGGUUUUUCAUGUCACUGGUCGUGGUUAAAUCCCAUGUAGGAAUA